rnacentral:snRNA from 1 species
AAGAGAGCAUGAACAUGUCCCCACUAACACAAAUUAUGAAGUCCCUGCAUUUGAGGAAGUCUCAGGGGUCAGCACAUCCAAAGUGCAAUGGGUAAACCUUGCCCUGGGAAAACCACCUUUGUGACCAUGGUGUCUCCCCUGCCAGGUAAUGUC